CCUACGGGAGGCAGCAGUGAGGAAUAUUGGUCAAUGGGCGCGAGCCUGAACCAGCCAAGUAGCGUGAAGGAUGACUGCCCUACGGGUUGUAAACUUCUUUUAUAAAGGAAUAAAGUGAGGCACGUGUGCCUUUUUGUAUGUACUUUAUGAAUAAGGAUCGGCUACAUCCGUGCCAGCAGCCGCGGUAAUCCGGAGGAUCCGAGCGUUACCCGGGUUUAUUGGGUUUAAAGGGGGCGUAGUUGGGUUGUUAAGUCAGUUGUGAAAGUUUGCGGCUCAACCGUAAAAUUGCAAUUGAUACUGGCAGCCUUGAGUACAGUUGAGGUAGGCGGAAUUCGUGGUGUAGCGGUGAAAUGCUUAGAUAUCACGAAGAACUCCGAUUGCGAAGGCAGCUUACUAAGCUGCCACUGACAUUGAUGCUCGAAAGUGUGGGUAUCAAACAGGAUUAGAUACCCCAGUAGUC
rnacentral:rRNA from 1 species